rnacentral:SRP_RNA from 2 species
GCCAGGCGCGGUGGCUCACGCCUGUAAUCCCAGCACUUUGGGAGGCCGAGGUGGGUGGAUCACCUGAGGUCAGGAGUUCAAGACCAGCCUGGCCAAUAUGGUGAAAACCCAUCUCUA